UAGAUACCCUGGUAGUCCACGCCGUAAACGAUGAGUGCUAAGUGUCGGGGGGCUUCCGCCCCUCGGUGCUGGAGUUAACGUAUUAAGCACUCCGCCUGGGGAGUACGACCGCAAGGUUGAAACUCAAAGGAAUUGACGGGGACCCGCACAAGCGGUGGAGCAUGUGGUUUAAUUCGAAGCUACGCGAAGAACCUUACCAGCUCUUGACAUCUUCUGUCCACUCUAGAGAUAGAGCUUCCCCUUCGGGGGC
rnacentral:rRNA from 1 species